rnacentral:rRNA from 1 species
GUCGAGAAUCUUUCACAAUGGGGGCAACCCUGAUGGAGCGACGCCGCGUGGAGGAUAAGGUCUUCGGAUUGUAAACUCCUGUCAUGCGUGAACAAGGUUGCUUGGUUAAUACCUGGGCAAAUUGAUGGUAACGCAAGAGGAAGAGACGGCUAACUCUGUGCCAGCAGCCGCGGUAAUACAGAGGUCUCAAGCGUUGUUCGGAAUCACUGGGCGUAAAGGGUGCGUAGGUGGCGUGGUAAGUCAGAUGUGAAAGCCCGGGGCUCAACCUCGGAACUGCAUCCGAUACUGCCAUGCUAGAGUACUGGAGAGGUGACUAGAAUUCUCGGUGUAGCAGUGAAAUGCGUAGAUAUCGAGAGGAAUACCAAAGGCGUAGGCAGGUCACUGGACAGUUACUGACACUGAGGCACGAAGGCCAGGGGAGCGAACGGGAUUAGAUACCCCAGUAGUCC